rnacentral:tRNA from 3 species
AGCUCUGAGGUGUUUUCAUAUUAGAUUGCAAAUCUAAAGAAGCAGACUAAUCCCCUGCCGGGGCUU